rnacentral:rRNA from 1 species
GUAGGUGGCAAGCGUUGUCCGGAAUUAUUGGGCGUAAAGCGCGCGCAGGCGGUUCGUUUAAGUCUGAUGUGAAAGCCCACGGGCUCAACCGUGGAGGGUCAUUGGAAACUGGAGAACUUGAGUACAGAAGAGGAAAGCGGAAUUCCACGUGUAGCGGUGAAAUGCGUAGAGAUGUGGAGGAACACCAGCGGCGAAGGCGGCUUUCUGGUCUGUAACUGACGCUGAGGCGCGAAAGCGUGGGGAGCAAACAGGAUUAGAUACCCUGGUAGUCCACGCCGUAAACGAUGAGUGCUAAGUGUUAGGGGGUUUCCGCCCCUUAGUGCUGCAGCUAACGCAUUAAGCACUCCGCCUGGGGAGUACGGCCGCAAAGGCUG